AUCCCGGCCACGGCGCGCCUGCUCUGGGCUCUCCGCGUGCCGCGUCGCUUUCUUUUCUUCCUCUGGAGCAGUUAUGGCGGCGGCGAAGACCCUGAACCCCAAGGCCAAGGUGGCCGGAGCGCAGGCGGCGCUGGCGUUCAACAUUAGCGGGGCGCGGGGUCUGCAGGACGUGCUGAGGACCAACCUGGGGCCCAAAGGGACCAUAAAGAUUCUUGUUUCUGGCGCUGGAGACAUCAAGCUUACUAAAGACACAGGAGUUGACGAUCAGCCCUGGCCAACAUGGUGAAACUCAGUCUCUACUAAAAAUACAAAAAUUAGCCGGGCACGGUCCUGCACAGUGCGCUGCUUCACGAAAUGGGCCUUCAUCCCAGAAUAAUCACUGAAGGAUUUGAAGCUGUGAAGGAAAAGCCCUUCAUUUUUUGGAAGAAGUCAAAGUAAGCAGAGAGAUGGACAAGGAAACACUUAAAGAUGUGGCCAGGGCAUCUCUUUGUACUAAAGUUCAUGCUGAACUUGCAGAUGUCUUAACAGAGGCUGUAGUGGGCUCCAUUUUGGCCAUUAAAAGAAAAGAUGAACCUAUUGAUCUCUUCAUGAUUUUGUGAUCAUUGACAAGAAACAUAAAUCUGAAACUGAUACAAGAGAAGUGAAUUCUGGCGUUUUUUACAAGAGUGCAGAAAGAGAAAAACUCAUAAAAGCUGAAAGAAAAUUCAUUGAAGAUAGAGUUAAAACAAAUAAUAGAACUGAAAAGGAAAGUCUGUAGUAAUUCAGAUAAAGGAUUUGUUAUUAAUCAAAAGGGAAUUGACCCCUUUUCCUUAGAUGCUCUUUCAAAGAAGGCAUAGUCGCUCUUCACAGAGCUAAAAGGAGGAAUAUGGAGAGGCUGACUCUUGCUUGUGGUGGGGUGGCCCUGAAUUCUUUUGAGGACCUAAGUCCUGACUGCUUGAGACAUGCAGGACUUGUAUAUGAGUAUACAUUGGGAGAAGUUCACCUUUAUUGAGAAGUGUAACAACCCUCGUUCUGUCACAUUAUUGAUCAAAGGACCAAAUAAGCCCACACUUAGAUCAAAGAUGCAGUAAGGGAUGGCUUGAGGGCUGUCAAAAAUGCUAUUGAUGAUGGCUGUGUGGUUCCGGUGCUGGUGCCGUGGAAGUGGCAAUGGCAGAAGCCCUGAAUAAAUAUAAGCUCAGUGUAAAGGGCAAGGCACAGCUUGGAGUCCAAGCAUUUGCUGAUGUGUUGCUCGUUAUUCCCAAGGUGAGCCCGUGGUAGCAGCAGAAGCAGGCAUUAUGGGAUAACGAUUGUGUAAAGAAACAGCUUCUUCAUUCCUGCACUGGUUGCCACCAACAUUCUCUUGGUUGAUGAGAUCAUGCGAGCUGGAAUCUUCUCUGAAAGGUUGAAUUGAAGCUUCCUCUGUAUCUGAGUCUUGAAGACUCUGCAAAGUGAUCCUGAAGAAUACAGCUGUGGAAUUUUUGUCCAAGCUUCAAAUGAGUUUCAAGGGAAUUUUCCCAUGUGAAAAAAGGAGAGAACACUGGCAUCUGUUGAAAUUCGGAAGUUCUGAAAUUAUAAUCACAGUAUUUUUUAAAAAUUGCACUGAAGUGUACACAGAUAAAGCAGGUCUUUCACCCAGUGAACAGGAUGUUUUGCUUUAGCAGCAGUGACAUAAAAUUCCAUGUUAAAUAAGCAUAUAUUACCUACCUUAUUAAAUAUUCCUUGAAAAAGCAGAUUUUAAUGGUUUAAUUUUAUGUGGACAUAUGUUAAAUUAUUCAGCAGUACCCUAUUGUUAAGCAUCUGGUUUUAAAAUUUUUAUGCUAAUAUAAAUAACGCUUAGUAAUUUAAAAUUUUGGAAGCAUCCCGUUAGUGUAAAUUUCUGAGUAAAUUUAUUGAUCAGUUGGACUUUUCACGCUUUUGAAAUAGCUUUGCUAAAAUGCUCCCCCUACAAAGUUGUAGGAAAUGGGAAGAGGAGUAAACUAGAGGCAAGGGAGUUGAGAGAGCUGGAAGGCAUGGUGGCUAAGGGCUACGGUUAUCAGGUGAAAUUUGAGAUUUGUAGGCUGACUAUAUUUUCAAGCUUCUGAACUUUUGCUUAUGCAAAAUAUUCAUCCCAAAGCCUCUAGCGUCAUAGUUUCCUCACCCAAAUUACUAUGUUUCCACAAGAUUUAUAUAGUUGGUCUAUCUCUGCGGUCCUUGAAAGUGAAGUUGGUGUUACUAGGCUGUGGGUUUUGGGGGCUCAGCAGUGACCUGGAGUGUGCAAAUAAAUGUUAAGUUGAAACCUC
rnacentral:lncRNA from 1 species